rnacentral:rRNA from 1 species
AGUGAACGCUGGCGGUAGGCCUAACACAUGCAAGUCGAACGGCAGCACAGUAAGAGCUUGCUCUUACGGGUGGCGAGUGGCGGACGGGUGAGGAAUACAUCGGAAUCUACUUUUUCGUGGGUGAUAACGUAGGGACACUUACGCUAAUACCGCAUACGACCUACGGGUGAAAGCAGGGGAUCUUCGGACCUUGCGCGAUUGAAUGAGCCGAUGUCGGAUUAGCUAGUUGGCGGGGUAAAGGCCCACCAAGGCGACGAUCCGUAGCUGGUCUGAGAGGAUGAUCAGCCACACUGGAACUGAGACACGGUCCAGACUCCUACGGGAGGCAGCAGUGGGGAAUAUUGGACAAUGGGCGCAAGCCUGAUCCAGCCAUACCGCGUGGGUGAAGAAGGCCUUCGGGUUGUAAAGCCCUUUUGUUGGGAAAGAAAAGCAGUAGGUUAAUACCCCGCUGUUCUGACGGUACCCAAAGAAUAAGCACCGGCUAACUUCGUG